CAGUCGGUCCGUUGGCUUGUAGGCGACGCCGCCUUUCAGGUAGGUGGCGUUUUGACAGAGUGGCCUAUCAAUCUUUGUGGCAAUCACAAACUCCAGAAGGAGAUGGAUAACAAUGCACUCUGGCCAUUGUGAGUGCAGAUUCGGAGGGGAUUAAGUCUUCAGCUAUGCAUGAAAGAUCUAAAAGGAAAGGCAAGCCUCACCACCAGCUAGGAGAGGCUAGUACUUGUUGGAAUUUUCAGAUGCCACCUGGCCUGCUGAGCAUUUGCUUCUUAUAUUUAUGUUUCACACCAUCAGCUUUCACUAAAAUUGAACUCCUUCAGUCAAGCUUCCCAGGGGAAGAAAUUGAAGGCAGCGCCAAAAAUGUGACUCAAAAAUCAGAUGGCAUGUGCAAAGAUUUUGCAGACCAGAUUAAACCUAUUCAGAUUAAAAUCUCCAACUGCAGAAUAUUGCUGUUUACUAUCACUAAAUGAGCGGAAGAAUAAAGAUGUCAUACAGUCUUACCUAUAG